AUCUAUUUGUUUACAAGUAUAAAAGAGGUGAUUACUUAAAUAUUACAAUUUAUUGUACUCGAUUCCCCAUUAUUCCUGGUCACAUUUAGUCCCCAAACUGUCUUUUCUAGUAAUUGGAUGGAAAUCGUUCGACUUACUGUCGAAAAAAUACUUACGCCUGAAAUAUAGAUCAACUGUUGAGAGUCUUGAGACUCGUUAAGCCGAGCUUUUGCUUUUGUAAAAGAUCUUCGUAAGAAAGCAUUUUACUUGAUGUUUGAGAACUCAUUUCUAAAGACAAACCUUUUAAAUGAACUCACAAUGGAUCGAUUUCUUCAAAAAAAACUCUUCUAUCCAAUAGAAAUUAUUUUAUAAAAUUAUUCAAACUUUUUUUUUUUUAAAUCUCAAAAGCAACCCAGAAUUUAUUUCCAUCCAUUUGUCUUUAUGUGCAUCAAAAUAGACAAUUUGGAGAACGUAAAUGCAACAAAAGAUGAAUACAGACCCAAGCAAUACAAGUAGUAAUGUUUGGGACUAUGGGGUGAAAUUUUCCGUCACAUUAAUUUGAAAGACAUCAUUGUUCAACGCCCAAUUUGAAGGGAACGAGAGCUUACUUUCUAAGCUAAACUGUGAAUAAUGGAGAUCGAAGCCGGAAGGCGAGGUAGACGGAAAAACUGGCCGCCUGCCCCCCUUCUCGUGUAGCCGUAACACGGCGGCGAUCAACUCAUCAACGGUGUCCUCCGGCGCCAUCACUACUUGCACGGCACCGAGGCUCCUCUGUAUCGUCACAUUAACCAACAACUUCGUCAGCUUAGGUUUUCCGUGUGGCAAUGCCGGCAAAUUUGCAACAACUCUUUUCCCGGUGAAAAAUUCCUUUGCCGUCCUUGUCCUUGGCUGCAUCUCCAGCACAGUCCCGCCGCUUGAGGUUUUCCCCGAUAACUUUCCCUUCUCGUUCUCCUCGUGGCCUCCUUCACGGUAAUUCUUCGGUGACGGCAUUUAAUAUAGAUGACUCUGUAUUCUGUAUAUAUGUGGUGUGGGUGGCAAUAUCCCCUCUAUCUUAGAAGAGGGGAUCCCAAAUUACUGUUCAUCUGUGAUUUGUU
rnacentral:lncRNA from 1 species